rnacentral:rRNA from 1 species
UCGCCUGUUUAUCAAAAACAUCGCCUCUUGCUAACAAUGAAGUAUUAGAGGUCCCGCCUGCCCUGUGACAGCAGUGUUUAACGGCCGCGGUAUUUUAACCGCGCGAAGGUAGCGUAAUCACUUGUCUUUUAAAUGGAGACCUGUAUGAAUGGCAUAACGAGGGUUUAACUGUCUCCUCUCUCCGGUCAAUGAAAUUGAUCUGCCCGUGCAGAAGCGGACAUGACAACAUAAGACGAGAAGACCCUAUGGAGCUUUAGGCAAAUGAUCAAACCCAACAAGCCCCGCCUCAUAAUUAGGCUGGGAAACAAAAAUUCCUGAUCAGAAUGCCUUCGGUUGGGGCGACCAUGGAGGAAAAAAGAGCCUCCAAGUGGAACGGGAAAACCCUUCAACUAAGAAAAACACCUCUAAGUACCAGAAAAUCUGACCAAUAAUGACCCAGGACAAACCUGAUCAACGAACCCAGUUACCCUAGGGAUAACAGCGCAAUCCCCUCCCAGAGUCCAUAUCGACGAGGGGGUUUACGACCUCGAUGUUGGAUCAGGACAUCCUAAUGGUGCAGCCGCUAUUAAGGGUUCGUUUGUUCAACGAUUAAUAGUCCUACGUGAUCUGAGUUCAGACCGG